rfam:Vigna angularis cultivar Jingnong 6 chromosome 7, whole genome shotgun sequence.
GUGCACAUGACGAGUAACUCGGAUUCCCCUUCAAGACAUCAUGAAUGAUGCAAACCCGAGUUUCUGAUGCA